rnacentral:rRNA from 1 species
GAGGGCUCAACUGUCUCCUGUGGUCAAUCAAUGAAAUUGAUCUCGCAGUACAAAUGCUGUGAUACGACUAUAAGACGAGAAGACCCUGUGGAGCUUUAAACCUGCCACAUUAACUAAUUAUCCUAACCAUUACUAGUAUAAUGUAAGUUUUAAGUUGGGGCGACUAUGGAGUAAAAAAUAACCUCCACGCAACACGAUUAAACCUCGUCAUGCACGGCCAACAAGCCCAGUCAAAACAUACGACCCAGUCAAACUGAUCACCGAACCAAGUUACCCCAGGGAUAACAGCGCCAUCCCCUUAAAGAGUUCACAUCG